UGUUAGUACCAUCUUCCCUCACCAACCCUCCGGCAUCUUCUGAAUGUGACUGCUUAAAAUUACAAUCACCUAACAUGACUGAAGACACAGAAAGCCACCAGAUGACUGCAAGGACCAUAAAAUGUCCGAGUUCUGUUCCUUUCUUUACCGUAACUGGAGACAGAGAAAUGAGAAGCCGGGGCUGGGGACGAAGCUUGAUGCCCCCUGCUGGCCACGAAGAGGCACGAGCUACAAUUGCUGUAGAAAGAACUGGAUCGGGCUAAGGAAACUGCAGGCUUCAUCCACAAAGAUGAAAAGAAUCUUGCUUCCCCGAUAAAUACCCAAGAAAACGUGUACAACACACACACACACACACACACACACACACACGAUGCUCAUUAUCAAUCUGCUGAACAUGACUGCUAAAAAUCAAGAUCGUCUCCCAAGACCAGGAAGAAGGCAGGGCUGGACCAUUUAGAUGGAGAAAGACUCGACACCACAACUCGCCCACAGCAUUGUUUUAGCUAUCUAACAGUGUGUUACGUGAAAGUUUAUACCUAAUUUCUUACCAGAUUUUCAUAAUUUAUUUACGGGAUCUUAGGCAAACGACCCUAGGGUUAGUCUGUAUAAAAUAUCCCUCGGUGACAGGAAGGUGAAGGAUGGCAGAAAAUACAAUGUCAUCGUUGUUAAAUAACUGAGAUGCGGCUUCAGCGAUGACAACUGUCUCCCAAAACUCAUGUGAUUAAUUACAUUAAACGACAUUCUGAACUAUAAGCUGGUUAAAAAAAAAAUGGAACAGCAGCUGUCAAUUAUGGCGUAUUUAUAGAAAACACAUUUACCUCUUCCGUCAGACUGAAUCACAACUGCUAUUUUGUGCUCUUGCUCUUACCUGAGCUGUACCCAAACAGUUGUUAUUCAGAUGCCCUCACAGGCAAAGGCCACAAAACACGAGGGAGGGGCUCGGGCCCAGAAAAGGCUCACUCUUCAAGCAUGGAAAAUUCAGGAAACUAGGUGUAAAAAGUAAUGUCAGGCAUUGUGACACACACUUCUCCAUGGCGAUCAGCAAGCUUUUUACAAAGUCCACGUUCCAGUCAGGCCAUCUAUAACUGUUCCUGCCAGCCUGAUCAAGAUCAUUGAUAAUGGGCUGUUUGUUAGAAAUGACUUUUUAAAACAUGUGCACUCAGUAAUAAUCUCUCUCUAGUCAUAGAAGCAAUGCUCAGAUUUGAGGUGGUAACCCCUGACCAUGUUAAAUGAAGUUUGUAAAGACGGAGCUAACCUUUCACUCCUAGAGAUGGCCCCUGGGGCUUGAUCAUCGACCCUGAGGUUUCUUGUUGUGUAAUCUCAACCUCGAGGGCAUCGAAAUCUCAACUCAGAUCCUCUCAUGGGUUAGGGAAUCCUUCAUGCAGGUGCAAGCAGAACACAAACACUUUGGUGCUACUGAGGAAUGAAUUAUGUAAACACUUUACAUCAGCUUGUUAGCUAAGAGUAUGUGUUCACUUUUGUUCCAUUGUAGGAACUGUGGUCCUGCUUUCUUUUAUAAACUGAUACUGAAGCUGUUGAGAUACAACUACUAAUCUAGCUAAUAUAACCAUGUCUAACCACUAAUAGACCUGUUUAUCUGCCAAAAAUUACCUAGAAUUGGUCUUGAACGGAUCACCUCAUUCUCCUCUAGCCACUUACUAUGUGAGUGAACUUAUGCAAGCUGCAUGUCCCUGCACCUCAACCACAGAUCUAUAAAAUUAGGAUGAAU